ACACUGUACAAUGGAUUUCUCGGCU
rnacentral:rRNA from 1 species